GACAGAGGGUGCAAACGUUGUUCGGAAUUACUGGGCGUAAAGCGUGUGUAGGCGGUCUGCUAAGUCUGAUGUGAAAGCCCUGGGCUCAACCCAGGAAGUGCAUUGGAUACUGGAAGACUUGAAUACGGGAGAGGGUAGUGGAAUUCCUAGUGUAGGAGUGAAAUCCGUAGAUAUUAGGAGGAACACCGGUGGCGAAGGCGGCUACCUGGACCGAUAUUGACGCUGAGACGCGAAAGCGUGGGGAGCAAACAGG
rnacentral:rRNA from 1 species